GUAGUUGUGGCCGAGUGGUUAAGGUGAUGGACUCAAAAUUUAUGGGGGGGGUCUCCCAGUGCAGGUUCAAAUCCUGCUAACUACA